UGCCCCAUGGCCCAGUUGGUUAAGGCGCACGACUGUUAGUGACAUCGUGAGAUCGAGAGUUCGAGCCUCUCUGGGGCAG